GUAGCCAGCAAGACAUUUGCCAAGGGCAGGACAUAAUGUGCUUUGCCUGUUAUGUUAAUGCCUUCAUGGUCCCAUACGGAAAGUAUUUUUCUUUCAUUACAUUGCAGUAGUUCUACCUUGUCAUUGCCCUUGCAAAGAAAUAAAGCCUUUUCCACUGAUAAUCGAGAUCCAGGAAAUGCAUCCCUGAAGAGAAACAUCAUACAGGAGAGCCAGGCUUCAAUGUCAUCUGUAGACAGAAGAUUGGGUGGAUUAUGGGAAUCUACUGGGCACCAGGGCCCUCACAGUACUGGCAGCAGGACUGAGUCAACUACCCAGAAAAAGUGGGUCUCUGAAGCCCUGAGUUGCCCCUGGCAACACCUCUGCUCCAAGAAUUUGGUUUAAUUUGAGUCAAUGAAAAACCAAAGGGAAUACACUGACCAGCCUCUGAACCAGCAAAGAUCCAUGGCACCCACUCCAGGGAAGGCUUAUAAGGAUAACCAGACACUGUAGGACUUGAUGCAUGUGGGAUAUGGGGAGGAGUCCCACGUGCACAUCUCUAAUAAAAUGGCUGUGCUCAUGGGGCAUUUUGCUUUACAUUGCAAAACUACAUGUAAUUACUAUGAGACAUAGGGUAACAUGUGCAUUAGGGGAUUUAAUAUCCCUACUGACUGUGGAGUGAUUUGUUUUCUCUGGCAAUGUACAUGUGACUCUUACUUGCCUAGCCAAUUUAAUGUAAUAACUGUAGGAGAGGUUUUUAUGUGCAUGUAUUUUCCCCUACAUUUCCCCAUAUUCAUUCUCAAGGUAUUUGCUUAGCUUCUCUCCUCUGCCUUGCACUGCUCCAUGAUGGAAAAAUAAAUAUUUAAGAGCUUAAAUCUCA